rnacentral:rRNA from 1 species
CUCAGGAUGAACGCUGGCGGCGUGCCUAAUACAUGCAAGUCGAACGCUUCACUUCGGUGAAGAGUGGCGAACGGGUGAGUAAUACAUAAGUAACCUGGCAUCUACAGGGGGAUAACUGAUGGAAACGUCAGCUAAGACCGCAUAGGUGUAGAGAUCGCAUGAACUCUAUAUGAAAAGUGCUACGGGACUGGUAGAUGAUGGACUUAUGGCGCAUUAGCUUGUUGGUAGGGUAACGGCCUACCAAGGCGACGAUCCGUAGCCGACCUGAGAGGGUGACCGGCCACACUGGGACUGAGACACGGCCCAGACUCCUACGGGAGGCAGCAGUAGGGAAUUUUCGGCAAUGGGGGAAACCCUGACCGAGCAACGCCGCGUGAAGGAAGAAGUAAUUCGUUAUGUAAACUUCUGUCAUAGAGGAAGAACGGUGGAUAUAGGGAAUGAUAUCCAAGUGACGGUACUCUAUAAGAAAGCCACGGCUAACUACGUGCCAGCAGCCGCGGUAAUACGUAGGUGGCGAGCGUUAUCCGGAAUUAUUGGGCGUAAAGAGGGAGCAGGCGGCACUAAGGGUCUGUGGUGAAAGAUCGAAGCUUAACUUCGGUAAGCCAUGGAAACCGUAGAGCUAGAGUGUGUGAGAGGAUCGUGGAAUUCCAUGUGUAGCGGUGAAAUGCGUAGAUAUAUGGAGGAACACCAGUGGCGAAGGCGACGAUCUGGCGCAUAACUGACGCUCAGUCCCGAAAGCGUGGGGAGCAAAUAGGAUUAGAUACCCUAGUAGUCCACGCCGUAAACGAUGAGUACUAAGUGUUGGGUGUCAAAGCUCAGUGCUGCAGUUAACGCAAUAAGUACUCCGCCUGAGUAGUACGUUCGCAAGAAUGAAAC